rnacentral:rRNA from 1 species
UACAGAGGUCCCAAGCGUUGUUCGGAUUCAUUGGGCGUAAAGGGUGCGUAGGCGGCGCGGUAAGUCGGGUGUGAAAUCUCGGGGCUUAACUCCGAAACUGCAUUCGAUACUGCCGUGCUUGAGGACUGGAGAGGAGACUGGAAUUUACGGUGUAGCGGUGGAAUGCGCAGAUAUCAGGAGGAACACCGGUGGCGAAGGCGGGUCUCUGGGCAGUAACUGACGCUGAGGAGCGAAAGCGUGGGGAGCGAACAGG